rnacentral:rRNA from 1 species
GACGUAGGAUGCGAGCGUUGUCCGGAUUUAUUGGGCGUAAAGAGUUCGUAGGCGGUUCGUUAAGUCUGGUGUUAAAGAUCAAGGCUCAACCUUGGGAUGGCAUUGGAUACUGGCGGACUUGAGUGCAGUAGAGGCGAGUGGAAUUCUCAGUGUAGCGGUGAAAUGCGUAGAUAUUGGGAAGAACACCGGUGGCGCAGGCGACUCGCUGGGCUGUAACUGACGCUGAGGAACGAAAGCUAGGGGAGCAAAUGGG